UACGAAGGGGGCUAGCGUUGCUCGGAAUUACUGGGCGUAAAGGGAGCGUAGGCGGACAUUUAAGUCAGGGGUGAAAUCCCAGAGCUCAACUCUGAAACUGCCUUUGAUACUGGAUGUCUUGAGUGUGAGAGAGGUAUGUGGAACUCCGAGUGUAGAGGUGAAAUUCGUAGAUAUUCGGAAGAACACCAGUGGCGAAGGCGACAUACUGGCUCAUUACUGACGCUGAGGCUCGAAAGCGUGGGGAGCAAACAGG
rnacentral:rRNA from 1 species